AUUGAACGCUGGCGGCAUGCUUUACACAUGCAAGUUGAACGGCAGCGGGGGCUUCGGCCUGCCGGCGAGUGGCGAACGGGUGAGUAAUGCAUCGGAACGUGCCCAGUCAUGGGGGAUAACUACGCGAAAGCGUAGCUAAUACCGCAUACGCCCUGAGGGGGAAAGUGGGGGAUCUUCGGACCUCGCGCGAUUGGAGCGGCCGAUGUCGGAUUAGCUAGUUGGUGGGGUAAAAGCCCACCAAGGCGACGAUCCGUAGCGGGUCUGAGAGGAUGAUCCGCCACACUGGGACUGAGACACGGCCCAGACUCCUACGGGAGGCAGCAGUGGGGAAUUUUGGACAAUGGGGGCAACCCUGAUCCAGCCAUGCCGCGUGAGUGAAGAAGGCCU
rnacentral:rRNA from 1 species